rnacentral:rRNA from 1 species
GGGGAAUAUUGCACAAUGGGCGCAAGCCUGAUGCAGCCAUGCCGCGUGUGUGAAGAAGGCCUUCGGGUUGUAAAGCACUUUCAGCGAGGAGGAAGGGUAGUGUGUUAAUAGCACAUUGCAUUGACGUUACUCGCAGAAGAAGCACCGGCUAACUCCGUGCCAGCAGCCGCGGUAAUACGGAGGGUGCAAGCGUUAAUCGGAAUUACUGGGCGUAAAGCGCACGCAGGCGGUUUGUUAAGUCAGAUGUGAAAUCCCCGCGCUUAACGUGGAACUGCAUUUGAAACUGGCAAGCUAGAGUCUUGUAGAGGGGGGUAGAAUUCCAGGUGUAGCGGUGAAAUGCGUAGAGAUCUGGAGGAAUACCGGUGGCGAAGGCGGCCCCCCUGGA